UACGUAGGGUGCAAGCGUUUGUCCGGAUUUAUUGGGCGUAAAGAGCGUGUAGGCGGUUUGGUAGGUCCGCUGUGAAAACUCGAGGCUCAACCUCGAGACGUCGAUGGAAACCAUCUGGCUAGAGUCGGAAGAGGAGAGUGGAAUUCCUGGUGUAGCGGUGAAAUGCGCAGAUAUCAGGAAGAACACCCGUGGCGAAGGCGGCUCUCUGGUACGUGACUGACGCUGAGACGCGAAAGCGUGGGGAGCAAACAGG
rnacentral:rRNA from 1 species